UGAACGCUAGCGACAGGCCUACACAUGCAAGUCGAGGGGCAAGCACAAGGAGCAAUCUGAGGUGGCGACCGGCGCACGGGUGAGUAACACGUAUGCAACCUGCCUGUAAGCGGGGAAUAACCCGUUGAAAGACGGACUAAUACCGCAUAAUACUAAAUUACUGCAUGGUAAUUUAUUUAACAUUUAUGGCUUACAGAUGGGCAUGCGCAUGAUUAGCUAGUUGGAGAGGUAACGGCUCCCCAAGGCAACGAUCAUUAGGGGUUCUGAGAGGAAGGUCCCCCACACUGGUACUGAGACACGGACCAGACUCCUACGGGAGGCAGCAGUGAGGAAUAUUGGUCAAUGGACGAGAGUCUGAACCAGCCAAGUCGCGUGCAGGAAGAAUGUUCCCUAUGGAUUGUAAACUGCUUUUGCAGGGGAAUAAAGUGCAUCACGUGUGAUGUUUUGUAUGUACUCUGCGAAUAAGGAUCGGCUAACUCCGUGCCAGCCGCCGC
rnacentral:rRNA from 1 species